rnacentral:sRNA from 13 species
GCCGGGCGUGGUGGCUCACGCCUGUGAUCCCAGCACUUUGGGAGGCCGAGGCGGGUGGAUCACCUGAGGUCAGGAGUUCAAGACCAGCCUGGCCAACAUGGUGAAACCCCGUCUCUA